rnacentral:rRNA from 1 species
AUUGAACGCUGGCGGCAUGCCUUACACAUGCAAGUCGAACGGUAACAGGUCUUCGGAUGCUGACGAGUGGCGAACGGGUGAGUAAUACAUCGGAACGUGCCUAGUAGUGGGGGAUAACUACUCGAAAGAGUGGCUAAUACCGCAUGAGAUCUACGGAUGAAAGCAGGGGAUCGCAAGACCUUGUGCUACUAGAGCGGCCGAUGGCAGAUUAGGUAGUUGGUGGGAUAAAAGCUUACCAAGCCGACGAUCUGUAGCUGGUCUGAGAGGACGAUGAGCCACACUGGGACUGAGAAACGGCCCAGACUCCUACGGGAGGCAGCAGUGGGGAAUUUUGGACAAUGGGCGCAAGCCUGAUCCAGCAAUGCCGCGUGCAGGAUGAAGGCCUUCGGGUUGUAAACUGCUUUUGUACGGAACGAAAAGCCCUGGGUUAAUACCCUGGGGUCAUGACGGUACCGUAAGAAUAAGCACCGGCUAACUACGUGCCAGCCGCCGCAGUAAUAC